AGUGUCUGUGGGCAUCUUCCAGAAGGCCGAGCAUGGGGGUCAGGUGAAACCAGGGCGCUCCCAAGCACCUUGCCCAGUAGAGCCCCCUUGCACCCUGCUUGGUUGGUCAGCACCCCAUGGACAUGCAGCCUUGACCUUGGCAUGGGAAGCCUCCACUGUGUCAAGCCCAACAUCCAGGCCUCUGAAGACAGUCAUUCAGAAGCUGAGAUUCUUGAGUAUGACUGUUCCCCGGGGCAAGGGUAUCUCAACUUUGGCACUACUGACAUCUCCACCCAUGAAUAUCAAUUAUUACAGAAAUGAAAAGGGAUCCUGCACCCAAAUUCAAAUCAAGCAAGUUCACCUAGAGGUUGCCGUGGGGUGGAGGGCCCAGAUCUGGGCUGUUUGGAUCUCUCUGCAGGAUGAAAGGGAUUUCCUGGACCUGGCUUUGCUGUCCCUUGCUCCUUUUGUAAGCAUCUGACUCUUCCUCUAUCCAUAAAGAUGAAGACAUUCUUUCGCAGGGAUUUAAUAUUGGGGCUGCAUGCCUGGCCCCUGAGAAAGCCCAAGCUUCCUCCUCCUUUUGAAUCGAACCCAGUGCAGCUUUAUGCGCUCCAGACGAGCCUGCAUUCCCCCUAAUGCCCCUGGAAUUGCUUACUCACACCAAAAUCCGCUGCCUCAGGCGUUUCCAGCCAGAGGUAAGCCUUCUUUUCAUGGGCAAUCAGGCAGUAGCCUGGAGCACAGAGGGGAAGGGGGGCACCUGCAUGCCCGGCUGGGUCUCUGUAGACAGUGGAUCAUGCGAGGCCUCCCCUCUCCUUGACCCUGUGUGAUGAGCCCUGGGAGGAGGCACCCAGGCCAGGGGAGGAGCUGCGUAGUGACAGAAAGGGCAUCUACAUCUCUACCACGUAAGUGGGGAAACUGAGGCUGGGCCUAGCACCAGAUCACUCAUGUUGAAACCUAGGUUUGAACUGGGUCUCUGAAUCCCCAUCCAGAGCUCACUGCCUUAAGGCUGAGGUGCCUGUGAGUGUCUGAGGACCCUUACUAUGAGACAGUGUUAUCGCUGACUUACAGUCUGGGUAAAGAAGGUGAAUGCAGUCAGAGGAGUAGAUUCAGGUGUCAGACAUUUGCAUAAAAUACCAAUUGCUCCUCAUGUUGGGGAGGUAAUUCACAAGCUUGAAUCUCUAAAAGGCUGCAUCUGGUGGAGGGCGGGGCUAUGUGUCUGUGCACGUCUGGUCUUUGGAGUUCUUAUUCAGCAAAUAUUGAUUGCAAGCCCACCAUGUGCCAGGCAUCAUGCCUGGGGCUUGGGAUCCAGAGAUGAAGAGACAGUCAACCAAGUCCAUCAGGCUCUGCCAACCCCUGUAGUGUGAGUGGUGGUUGGAGCACGUGUUAUACCCCCAAAAGGUGGGCUUGGCCAAGCCCUUCCACUUACCAGCCAUGUGUCCUUCUGGAUGGCAGUUUCCUCAUCUGCAAAAUGUGUGUAGCCCUAAGACCUGUCACCCAGGACCAUUUGGGAGGUCAGCUGUUGUUUUGCAGGUGAAAAGAUCCAUCUGGUCUCUGGGCCUGGCACUCUAUCUAUAAAAUGAGGCUCUACUCCAGCAUGUACCCACGGUGUGCUCUGGGUAGUAAACUGUGGUGGUUUAGCACUUUGCCUUUGGGUCUGACAGUCCUGGAUUCAAAUCCAGACUCUGCCCUCUACUGUGUAACCUGGUGCAUGUCACUUAACCUCUGUGGAACCCAGUAUUCUCAACUAUUAAAUGAGGAUGAUAAUAGUAGUAAUCAUAGUAGUACCUAGCUCAGACUGUUGGUGUAAAAAUUAAAUGAGCUAAUUAAAAUUAAAAAGUAAAGUGUUUUGCACAGAGACACUCCUAGUAAGCCCUGAAGAAAUGAGAGCUAUGCUUUUGAUUAUUAAUAUUCUUAUAAUCCAAAGGAUGAUGCAGGAUUUUUUAAAUCUUUCCACAUGUAUGUUUUUGGACCAGUCCAAAAAAGAAUUGGAAACACACUUAUGCCGCAUAAAGACAG
ensembl:lncRNA ANKRD34C-AS1 ANKRD34C antisense RNA 1